rnacentral:rRNA from 1 species
AGUCGAACGGCAGCGCGGGGCAACCUGGCGGCGAGUGGCGAACGGGUGAGUAAUAUAUCGGAACAUACCCUAGAGUGGGGGAUAACGUAGCGAAAGUUACGCUAAUACCGCAUACGAUCUAAGGAUGAAAGUGGGGGAUCGCAAGACCUCAUGCUCAUGGAGUGGCCGAUAUCUGAUUAGCUAGUUGGUAGGGUAAAAGCCUACCAAGGCGACGAUCAGUAGCUGGUUUGAGAGAACGACCAGCCACACUGGAACUGAGACACGGUCCAGACUCCUACGGGAGGCAGCAGUGGGGAAUUUUGGACAAUGGGGGCAACCCUGAUCCAGCAAUGCCGCGUGAGUGAAGAAGGCCUUCGGGUUGUAAAGCUCUUUUGUUAGGGAAGAAACGGUGAGUUCUAAUACAACUUGCUAAUGACGGUACCUGAAGAAUAAGCACCGGCUAACUACGUGCCAGCAGCCGCGGUAAUACGUAGGGUGCAAGCGUUAAUCGGAAUUACUGGGCGUAAAGCGUGCGCAGGCGGUUUUAUAAGUCUGAUGUGAAAUCCCCGGGCUCAACCUGGGAACUGCAUUGGAGACUGUAAGGCUAGAGUGUGUCAGAGGGGGGUAGAAUUCCACGUGUAGCAGUGAAAUGCGUAGAUAUGUGGAGGAAUACCGAUGGCGAAGGCAGCCCCCUG